UGGGUGUACCAGGGACCCUCAAUUUUUCAUUAGUGAAUAUCUUAUAGUUUCAUCCUCACAUUUCCAGGAAAUCAAGUUUUAUAUUUAAUUCAGAAAGAAGUUUUGGAUGUGAAGUUGAAUAUUUAGUAUGAAAGCAUGAAAGCUCAGAGCACAAAAGUAUGCAGUUGUGUCCUCAAAUGCUAGCUUAGCUUGUUGUACAAUGUUUUCUAAUCCAUACUCGCCAACUCUCAUUAUCUGAGCCACAGUUUUGCACACAACGUCUUUUUCAAGCUUUGACUUGAUCUUAUAGCACUGUUCUUGAUGAUACAAUUCUUUCCAUCUGCAACUCUGACCAUGUGACUUGUUUACCUACAUCAUUAUUUGAACUUUUGACUGAUUCUCAUUUCUCAUGCUCCAGAUUCCACAACUAAAACGUUCAGAAGACAGAUUUUACUUUUACCUUUCUUGGCCUCUUCCUCUCCAAAAUUUUUCUUUUGGAAAAUAUAUAUGAUGGUAAUAAAGUAUGUUUAAAGUGUCUAUUGAUAAUAUUUGCCUCAAUUCUUUUGUGGUAUCGAGCUGUAUCAGGAGCCUAGAUUGAGUCGUAUGAAGAGCAAGACAAUUGCAAGUUUGUAUGUGUAAAAUUAAUCUUCUACAUAUUUGAGUGGUGCAGACUGCAGAGACUAAGACAAUUGGUAGCCUGCUAAGUUUUGCUAUUCAGGUGUUAAGCUACCAAUAUUUGCUGUCAUGAUCCUUGGCCAGUCACCUCUGGAUAAGCUUCCUCUCCAAAGCCAAGAUGAAAUUUCUCUCUCUGCCGGUAUGAAAUACAUAAACAGAAAGAAGACAAGGAAGAAGAAGACAGUGUCGAUGAGACCAAUAAAUGCAUUGUGAGGGGUUAAAAGAGAAGAAGGAAAUUCAGUGUUUGCUAUACCAACUUCUCCUCUAACCAUCUCUCUCCCUCAAUGGUCAAAUUAAUGGAUCAUCACCUCCUUUCAUGUCCUUUUCGAAUUGAGUAAGUUUUAUUUUCUGAUCAUUGGACCAAGUAUUUUGACAACUACAUUUUUUUUUAAUCAUACACUCUUGCUCAAACUUAUUUUUUUUUAUUAUUAUUUUUUUUAGAACUAAUUUCAAUGUUUUGGAAUUUUCAC